rnacentral:rRNA from 1 species
GACGAACGCUGGCGGCGUGCUUAACACAUGCAAGUCGAGCGGUAAGGCCCUUUCGGGGGUACACGAGCGGCGAACGGGUGAGUAACACGUGGGUGACCUGCCCUUAGCUCUGGGAUAAGCCUGGGAAACUGGGUCUAAUACCGGAUAUGACUCCAUAACGCAUGUUGUGGGGUGGAAAGCCUUGUGCGGCUAGGGAUGGGCCCGCGGCCUAUCAGCUUGCUGGUGGGGUGANGGCCUACCAAGGCGACGACGGGUAGCCGGCCUGAGAGGGCGACCGGCCACACUGGGACUGAGACACGGCCCAGACUCCUACGGGAGGCAGCAGUGGGGAAUCUUGCGCAAUGGGCGAAAGCCUGACGCAGCGACGCCGC